UUACUACUCACUCCGUUUUAAGAUUCUUGUUUUAGAUUUGUCUAGAUAUGGAUGUAUCUAAAUUAAAACGUAAAUAGAUACAUUCGUAUUUAGAUAAAUUUAAGACAAAAAAUUUAGGAUGGAGGGAGUACCUU
rfam:Triticum aestivum genome assembly, contig: Triticum_aestivum_CS42_TGACv1_scaffold_603255_7DL